rnacentral:rRNA from 1 species
AUGAGGAUGGGGAUGUACCUCAUUCUGGCAUUGGGCGAUCUAGGAGAAUCCCAGCAAGGUGUUCUGCAUCCAACAGCUGUUGUGAAGACUAGAAUGCAGGUUGCUGAAGGAGGACUUUCACAUAUGUCUGGCUUUGUCGUUUUUAGAAAGAUAUUAAGGAGUGAUGGCAUCCCUGGUGUUUUCAGAGGAUUUGGCACCAAUGCAGUUGGAGCUCUGCUCACCGUCUACUGGGUGAACCGGGGCCUCUGCCACUUCCGCCACAAGGAAUGGGCCAGGGUCGAGGAGGACAGCAGGAGGGCACUCGUGCUUGACGACACCUCCGUCAAGGGACACUAUUUGCUAGGAUGCGCACUGCUCUUGAAGGGGAACUGCGCUCUCACCGUCAAGGAAUUCGACAAGCCCUUCUUGUCCUCCCUUUUUCUCGUUCUUCUGAACUUCUCGACAACCCGUGUGUUCCUCAAAUUCAAGGGACAAAAUGGCAGAGGACAUUUGACAGUUUCUUGCAAGGCAAAGUACCAGGACUGGGAAAAGCACUCUACUCAGCGAGUUUGGAAGAUGCAAAGUUGUACACUGGAAGCAUGUGAAAAUGCUCUGCCACGCCUCCACCUUCUCCUUCGCCCUUCACCACCGAGCCCCCUGACCCAUCACGCUUGUCGCGCCCUUUGCGCAAGGGCUUCCAACCCAAUGUGCCGAUUGUGGCUGUUCUUGAGGCUGCUAACCUACAGUCCAUUUCUUGCAGCUGUUGACCCCACUGCUCCCCAGUGCAGAGGAUUUCCAUGGUGUCGCAGCUCCAAGGCACACCUGACCUCCUCCUUUUGGUGA